AAGUGACGACAGCGAGCUGGAAGACUUGUGUUCCUGCCCUGUAUCACUAACAGCGGAAGACUGCUUGGGCUGAAAUUUGAAAUCCAUGCUUAAAUGCAUUAGCCGUUCUCAGGCACUGUGGAAUGUUUGGGAUUCCUUGGGGCAACUAUAGCAACCACCACCCACCGAGGAGAAAAUGGAUCCACGCGUCAGUAUACAGUAGCUGCACAAAUCCUGCCUAUCUUUUGAGCUCCAGUCUAGCUCCUUGGAUUCUGAGUAGGUCAAACAUGAACUAUGGAUGUGCGUAUACAUACAUAACGGAUAACGCAACAACCCCUCAAUGAGAAAAAUGAGCCAAAUGGAGUUCAACAACUCGCCCAGGGUCACAUAACAAUGAUUAAGUGUGAAGUCUGAAAAAUGUCUUUCUGGCUCCAAGCCUGGCAUUCUAACCUAUCUGCCCUUGGCUAAAAUAAACAGAUUUAAAACCACCUGAAAGA